UACAGAGGUCCCAAGCGUUGUUCGGAUUCAUUGGGCGUAAAGGGUGCGUAGGCGGCGAGGCAAGUCUGGUGUGAAAGCCCACGGCUCAACCGUGGAGGGUCAUUGGAAACUGGGGGGACUUGAGUGCAGAAGAGGAAAGCGGAAUUCCACGUGUAGCGGUGAAAUGCGUAGAGAUGUGGAGGAACACCAGUGGCGAAGGCGGCUUUCUGGUCUGUAACUGACGCUGAGGCGCGAAAGCGUGGGGAGCAAACAGG
rnacentral:rRNA from 1 species